AGAGCGAACGCUGGCGGCAGGCCUAACACAUGCAAGUCGAACGGAUCCUUCGGGAUUAGUGGCGGACGGGUGAGUAACACGUGGGAACGUGCCUUUUGGUUCGGAACAACUCAGGGAAACUUGAGCUAAUACCGGAUGUGCCCUUCGGGGGAAAGAUUUAUCGCCAUUAGAGCGGCCCGCGUCUGAUUAGCUUGUUGGUGAGGUAAAGGCUCACCAAGGCUACGAUCAGUAGCUGGUCUGAGAGGAUGAUCAGCCACACUGGGACUGAGACACGGCCCAGACUCCUACGGGAGGCAGCAGUGGGGAAUCUUGCGCAAUGGGCGAAAGCCUGACGCAGCCAUGCCGCGUGAAUGAUGAAGGUCUUAGGAUUGUAAAAUUCUUUCACCGGGGACGAUAAGUGACGGUACCCGGAGAAGAAGCUCCGGCUAACUCGCGCCAGCAGCCGC
rnacentral:rRNA from 1 species